rnacentral:ncRNA from 1 species
AAAGACUUAGUCCUAACCUUACCGUUAACUCUUGCUAGACAUAUACAUGCAAGUAUCCGCGCCCCAGUGUAAAUGCCCUUGAUUUUCUUACCAAGAUGAGAGGAGCGGGCAUCAGGCACACACCUAAACGUAGCCCAAGACGCCUUGCUUAGCCACACCCCCAUGGGUACUCAGCAGUAAUUAACCUUAAGCAAUAAGCGAAAGCUUGACUUAGUUAUAGCAAUACCUUAGGGUUGGUAAAUCUUGUGCCAGCCACCGCGGUCACACAAGAGACCCAAGUUAACCGUGAUACGGCGUAAAGAGUGGUAUCAUGCUAUCAAACCAGCUAAGAUCAAAAUACAGCUGAGCUGUCAUAAGCAUAAGAUGUACGUAAGAUCACCCUCAAAACGAUCUUAGCACCUACGAUCAAUUAGCCGCCACGAAAGCUAGGGCACAAACUGGGAUUAGAUACCCCACUAUGCCUAGCCCUAAAUCUUGAUACUUACCCCACCAAAGUAUCCGCCCGAGAACUACGAGCGCAAACGCUUAAAACUCUAAGGACUUGGCGGUGUCCCAAAUCCACCUAGAGGAGCCUGUUCUAUAAUCGAUAACCCACGAUACACCCAACCGUUCCUUGCCAAAACAGCCUACAUACCGCCGUCGCCAGCCCACCUCCCCUGAGAGCUCAACAGUGGACACAAUAGCCUACCCCGCUAGCAAGACAGGUCAAGGUAUAGCCCAUGGAGCGGAAGAAAUGGGCUACAUUUUCUAAAAUAGAAAACUUCUACGGAAGGGGGUAUGAAACAACCCCUAGAAGGCGGAUUUAGCAGUAAAGCGGGAUAAUAUAAGCCUCCUUUAAACCGGCCCUGGGACACGUACAUACCGCCCGUCACCCUCCUCACAAGCUACAAGUCUCUAAUAACUAAUACACUCAUUAGCCAAAGAUGAGGUAAGUCGUAACAAGGUAAGUGUACCGGAAGGUGCGCUUAGCAUAC